AAUUGAGUGGAUUUUUACAAAAGGUUUUAAUUUGUUCUUAAUUUGUUGCAUCUAUAACUGGUUACGUCACGACAUUUGCACAUAUAAGGUAAAGAUUUCUCCUUGUAGGCCAUAAUUGUUCGUCAGCUGCAGCGGUUUUAGUCCGUACUGAAAAUAUGUCCAAACUUCGAGCCAAUUACCUAAAAUAUUCAGUUGUUGGUUAACUUUGAAUUAAUGAA